rnacentral:rRNA from 1 species
GGACAGAGCCCGUGAAUCCGGGCGCGCGGAAUUCAGGACCGACGCGGCGGACGCGUUCGCGCGCGUUCGUCGGGUCGAUUCGAUAUUUCCGCCGCCGACCCUCGACCGAGGGUGUCGGACGUCGCGACCCGUUCGCCACGAGUCGAUGCUCAGGGACGCGUUUUCAGUUCGCCAGCGCGGCCGUCUUGCGGCGGUCGCGCGACGACGACGCGUUUCCGUUGUUUUCGACGCGGACGGUAGCUUUGCGCGCGGGUAUUCGACGCGGCCCCUUCGCUCGGCGUUUUCGUGCGCCGAGCGGCGCUCGCGUCGACGCCGGUCAGCGACGA